AGAGUUUGAUCCUGGCUCAGAUUGAACGCUGGCGGCAUGCCUUACACAUGCAAGUCGAACGGUAACGCGGGGGCAACCCUGGCGACGAGUGGCGAACGGGUGAGUAAUACAUCGGAACAUAUCCAGUAGCGGGGGAUAACCUAUCGAAAGAUGGACUAAUACCGCAUACGAUCUACGGAUGAAAGCAGGGGACCACAAGGCCUUGCACUAUUGGAGUGGCCGAUGUCGGAUUAGCUAGUUGGUGGGGUAAAAGCUUACCAAGGCGACGAUCCGUAGCUGGUCUGAGAGGACGAUCAGCCACACUGGAACUGAGACACGGUCCAGACUCCUACGGGAGCAGCAGUGGGGAAUUUUGGACAAUGGGCGCAAGCCUGAUCCAGCCAUGCCGCGUGAGUGAAGAAGGCCUUCGGGUUGUAAAGCUCUUUCGGUGAAGACGAAACGGUUCAUGCUAAUAACGUGAACUAAUGACGGUACUCACAGAAGAAGCACCGGCUAACUACGUGCCAGCAGCCGCGGUAAUACGUAGGGUGCAGGCGUUAAUCGGAAUUACUGGGCGUAAAGCGUGCGCAGGCGGUUUGCUAAGACAGGUGUGAAAUCCCCGGGCUUAACCUGGGAAUUGCGCUUGUAACUGGCAAGCUAGAGUGUGGCAGAGGGGGGUGGAAUUCCACGUGUAGCAGUGAAAUGCGUAGAUAUGUGGAGGAACACCGAUGGCGAAGGCAGCCCCCUGGGUUAACACUGACGCUCAUGCACGAAAGCGUGGGGAGCAAACAGGAUUAGAUACCCUGGUAGUCCACGCCCUAAACUAUGUCAACUAGUUGUCGGGGAAGAAAUUCCUUGGUAACGAAGCUAACGCGUGAAGUUGACCGCCUGGGGAGUACGGCCGCAAGGUUAAAACUCAAAGGAAUUGACGGGGACCCGCACAAGCGGUGGAUUAUGUGGAUUAAUUCGAUGCAACGCGAAAAACCUUACCUACCCUUGACAUGCUAGGAAGCCCGCAGAGAUGUGGGUGUGCCCGAAAGGGAACCUAGACACAGGUGCUGCAUGGCUGUCGUCAGCUCGUGUCGUGAGAUGUUGGGUUAAGUCCCGCAACGAGCGCAACCCUUGCCAUUAGUUGCUACAUUCAGUUGGGCACUCUAAUGGGACCGCCGGUGACAAACCGGAGGAAGGUGGGGAUGACGUCAAGUCCUCAUGGCCCUUAUGGGUAGGGCUUCACACGUAAUACAAUGGUCGGUACAGAGGGCUGCCAACCCGCAAGGGGGAGCUAAUCCCAGAAAGCCGAUCGUAGCCCGGAUUGUAGUCUGCAACUCGACUGCAUGAAGCCGGAAUCGCUAGUAAUCGCGGAUCAGCAUGUCGCGGUGAAUACGUUCCCGGGUCUUGUACACACCGCCCGUCACACCAUGGGAGUGGGUUCCACCAGAAGUAGUUAGCCUAACCGCAAGGAGGGCGAUUACCACGGUGAGAUUCAUGACUGGGGUGAAGUCGUAACAAGGUA
rnacentral:rRNA from 1 species